CCUACGGGUGGCAGCAGUGGGGAAUAUUGCACAAUGGGGGAAACCCUGAUGCAGCGACGCCGCGUGGGUGACGAAGUAUUUCGGUAUGUAAAGCCCUAUCAGCAGGGAAGAAGAUGACAGUACCUGACCAAGAAGCCCCGGCUAACUACGUGCCAGCAGCCGCGGUAAUACGUAGGGGGCAAGCGUUAUCCGGAUUUACUGGGUGUAAAGGGAGCGUAGGUGGCAUGGCAAGCCAGAAGUGAAAACCCGGGGCUUAACCCCGCGGAUUGCUUUUGGAACUGGCAGGCUGGAGUGCAGGAGGGGCAGGCGGAAUUCCUGGUGUAGCGGUGAAAUGCGUAGAUAUCAGGAGGAACACCGGUGGCGAAGGCGGCCUGCUGGACUGUAACUGACACUGAGGCGCGAAAGCGUGGGGAGCAAACAGGAUUAGAUACCCCUGUAGUC
rnacentral:rRNA from 1 species